rnacentral:rRNA from 1 species
ACGUAGGCAGCAAGCGUUGUUCGGAAUUAUUGGGCGUAAAGGGUGCGUAGGCGGUUUGGCAAGUCUUGUGUGAAAUCUUCGGGCUCAACCCGAAGCCUGCACAAGAAACUGCCGGGCUUGAGUAUGGGAGAGGUGAGUGGAAUUUCCGGUGUUGCGGUGAAAUGCGUAGAUAUCGGAAGGAACACCUGUGGCGAAAGCGGCUCACUGGACCAUAACUGACGCUGAGGCACGAAAGCUAGGGGAGCAAACAGGA